UACGUAGGUCGCAAGCGUUGUCCGGAAUUACUGGGCGUAAAGAGCUCGUAGGUGGUUUGUCGCGUUGUUCGUGAAAACUCACAGCUCAACUGUGGGCGUGCGGGCGAUACGGGCAGACUGGAGUACUGCAGGGGAGACUGGAAUUCUCGGUGUAGCAGUGAAAUGCGUAGAUAUCGAGAGGAACACCAGUGGCGAAGGCGAGUCUCUGGACGACACCUGACACUGAGGCACGAAAGCUAGGGGAGCAAACAGG
rnacentral:rRNA from 1 species